UCGUCCUCUCCUCCGGCCAGUACUUCACUCCGGCGCUCUACAACGUCCCGGCUUUCAGGAGCAAGCUCGAGGAAUGGUUCCCACAGCAGGAGGCCAUCUUCCAUCUCCUGGUGAGGUACCUGUUGCUUCCCAGUGACUUCGUGUGGGACAAGGCAGCCAGGUACUACGACGCGUACCUGAACCAGGCCGAGCUUCUAGUCGGGGUCCAGCUGCGAAACCACAUCUGGUUCUCGCCACCCAACCUCGCCGAGGAUACGUUCGACUGCCUGGUGCAACAAGGCGCGCUCGCAAACACCACCCAGGAGCGAGCUCCCAGAUCGCCGGUGAGGAAGAACAGCAAGAAGGUGGCGGUGCUGGUGGUGUCGCUCAACUCGCAGUACUCGGAGACGCUCAAGAGCAAGGUGCUGGGAUACGAUCUAGCGGACGGCUCCUCGGUGUCCAUCCACCAGCCGAGCGUGGAGGGGGUGCAAAACACAGGGAACUUGGAUCACGACGCACAGGCGGUGAUGGAGAUCUACUUGCUGUCGAUGAGCGAUGUCCUGGUGACGAGCCCGCCAUCCACGUUUGGCUACUCGGCGGCGGGGCUGGCGGGGAUGAGGCCCGUGCAGUUCGUGUGCGACCAGAACAAGAGCGUGGUUUGCUCGGUGAGGGAGACGAUGGAGCCGUGCUACCACGUUUAUCCGGCUCAGUUCGCGCUGGACAACAUUGAAAAGUGCGAAUGCGGCGUGGGUUUCAGACUAGUCUAAAGGACGUUCUUAGAAAGGAUGUUGUCUUAGAAAGUUGUUAAAGCUUUAAGAUUUUAUUUUCUUUCUCGUGAUAGAUUUCUAAGUUGCUCCUUGGGUGCAUCACGGAAAUCUAGCGUCAUUUGUAGACUUGCGUGGUCAGGUCAUACUCUUGGCCCACGCAAAGAAAUCCAGGUAAUUUGGUACCAAGAGCUUAUAGACUUCAAAUGGCGAGCUGUCUUUUGUGCAGGACUUUGAAAAACUGCUCGUAUAGUGUUCUGGCGUGGAAGCUAACGAGUCUUUUUGACAAAUGGCACGCGCAAAGGACUUGACUGUUUACCAAGCCCGGUGGAGAACUUUUUGUGUGAAUAUAAAACACUGGAGGCCCAUUGGAUCCAAUCGUAUCGGAGCAAGCACAGCUCUUGGUUCUUAUACAACGAUAUCAUCACUACGUUUAGUGCUUUGUGGCUGGAAUGGAUCGUGGAAGGAUGCUUCUUGCCAUCGCAUUGGUGAUCAUGAUCAGCGGCAACAUCGAAUGUUCCAGGCCGGGCUCGUUUUCGGUGAUGAGCCAGCAGGCCGAGCUUUUCAAUUCCGAAUUGCGCCUUCCUGUUGUUAACAAGAUCCACAAUCUUUUCGAAAGGACCUUCCGGAGAAUGCUCAUCCAGGGUCAGCCCACGCCAUCCUCCGGCCCUUCCUGGUGCUGCCACGACCAUCCAUAGCAUUUUCCUAAAACGAUUUUUCAUUUCAAUACCACCAUUAUUUGGCUAAUUGAAGGGGCGGACAGCCACGUGGCUGACAAGUCACGCUGGGAGACGGCGGCGAAUUCUCCUCCAAAUCCUCCGCCUCCACCCCUUUCCCCAUUCUUCCCCACCUCCGCUUCCUCCCAUUACAGUCACAGCUUGCGUCCAUGAGGCGCUUGUCUCACCAAGGUGAAGGGGAAUGAUAAAGGCAUCUUUCCAUUUUUCCCUGUCAACUUCAAGAGACUUGAGAGCUGCUUGGAAUUCCCCGAAGUUCCAGUCCAGCAAGUAAAGUCUCCACAAGACUUUCAGGGAUGUCUUGUACAGCUGCGAACAAUCAGCCGUGGUGGUGGCUUGCCCUUGUUCUGGCGAGAAGAUCUGCAAAGAGGAGCGGCUGCAGUGAGUCUCGAAGAUUCGCAGGUCGUUCGGAUUGGGCAUGGCUUGAGGGCCGGGCAGGGCAGGAGGGACAAGAGCCGGUGGUGCUAGAACAAGCUGCAGAGGGAAGUGGGCAGCACUGGCAAAGGCAGAUUUUUUCCCACUUGACGAUGGAGUCUCAUUGAAAUGCACGUCUGGUGAGAUGAUCAGCGUCUUGGAGACAGGAUUGUAGACCUUGUAAGCCUUGUGUUCAAUGCCAUAGCCUAGGAAAAUGUCGCUUGUUGAAGUGAGUUUUUUUUCUAGUUUUAGAGGGGAUAUGGACGCCAUGGAAGGUGCGCUAAUCCAUUUGAAUUCCACUUUGUGCAAGAACCCUUGACAAUCCUGGACCUCAACAUUGGCAAGCACUUAAACGUGUCUUUUGGUACUUACGAGAUAUGUUUCCUUACAGUCUUAAGGCCAAGAGUCAAGCUUACUGGGCUGGCUUUGGCUAUAUUGUUUAGCCUUCGGUGUUGGGCCGGGUGUCGUUGAGGAGGCGGCAAAGCCAGAUGGCCUUUUUGCAUGCGGAACUAGCCUCCGCCUCACAGCUGGAGCAGGCAACGACGCUCUGCUUCUUGCUGCCAAUUGCAUUGUAAUCACAAUCAUCACAAGAUUAAUUCCCGGACGAAACACGCACCACGCUGGGAGACACGUCCAGUUCUUUCCAUGUUAUGCAAUCUUAAUUGAACAUCACAACAGCCUGGAAAUCGAGUCCGCUGCUUCAUCCCACCAAACAAUCUGAUCUCGUGCACAGCAUGAAACGAACAUUCUCUGUGCCUCUCCUGAUAGAGCCAUACAGGACCUUCUCAUGUCCAGCCAGCCACUCGAUUAUUAUAUGCAGCACACUCAAAUACAUCCAAGUAAAUCUUGAAAUCCUCGCAGAGUAGGCUAAAUGAGUCUGCUUGAGGAGGGCUUAAGUGAGUUGGCAAGGUGUAGUUUUGGUCUUUCCCUUGAACAUUGUAAGAUCAUGGACCUCACGUCACUACAGUGUCACCUUUAACUCAUUGUAACGCCCCAUAAAGGGAUUACUGCGUUUGCUCAAGUCCUCGAUGGGAGCGUGGAAGGUGAUAGCGCCUACAUCAGCUCCGUGAAUCGCAACAAGGAUUUCUUUCUUCUCAUGACAGGGGAUUUUAGGAUCGCGCCAGGCAGGGAUCACUUCGUCUGCAUGAUCGAUAUCUUCGGCCGUGGCAGGGAGAAUGCCGAGGAAUUGCUGCGUGCCAUGCCGUUUGUGCCGGAUGCUCUGAUUUGUAGGGCUUUGGUGGCAUCUUGCCGAUCGCAUUACGAUAUGUUUCGGGCAUUGGAUCGACAUAUAUGGCAAAUCGCUCCAAGAGCGUGUUUAAAAUGGAAAUUGGCGGGAAAGCGAUGUGUUUGUUUUCUAUUCUAUCUAGCUGUGCAUACUAUCGAAAGGUGGAAAAAGAAUUUAUUUAUAUAUGUAACUUCUUUCCAUUCAGUCAAGUCAGCCUCCCAACCUUUGGAGAAACUUUCAAGUCAUGCCGAUGAGCUCUCUCAACUUCUGGAUGAGACCACGGUCGUCAAUCUGGAACGCUUUUGCGAUCACGUCGUCGUUGAUUGGAGGACUGGAAUCAAACACCGCCUUGGCCACCUGAGUCGCCCCGGGGUUUUGGCUGUUGAAGCCAGCCAUUGCAACCGCAGGCUCCUUUCCAACGUUGAGCUGGAAGUGAAUGAGUCCCCGAGGGAAGACGAACAGAUCUCCAGGAUAGAGCAUUUGGGCGAAGAGCUUGUUGUCCGGCAAGGUGGUGACGAAUCCGACUAAGAGGUUCCCGUGCACGAGGAAGAGCAACUCGGAUCCUCGGGGAUGGACGUGGGGGGGAUUGGUGCCGCCGGGAGCAUAGUCGAUGCGGGCGAAAGCUACACCAAAGGUGUUGAGACCGGGGAAAUUGUUGACACUCGCCAGCGUGACGUUGGAGCCGAGCUUGUUGUCGGUGUUCCCGGGAGUCGCCAGCAGGCUCGACUUGAAGUCCUCGGCUUUCACAUCGGCGGCCGCCUUGCAGACGACGCCGUUCACUUUGAUCUUGGAGCCAUUGUCUGCAACGCAAAAGUCCUGCAGCAUAUCUUCAUCCGCAGCAUGUACAAACAAGAUGGAGCUGAUUGCUAGGAGGAAGGAUAGAACAAAACGAAGAUGAGCCAUCUUGCGAGCUUGGAAAAGACUGAUGGAGCUAUAUGAGGGAGGGGCAGGCAUUUUAUAGCCAGAGGAGGGGAGGCGAGGUCCUUUGGAUGACUUCGUCGUGAAUCGUGCACGAUUUUAGGUACACGGUCUUCUGUUCCCUUCUAUUUCAUUUUUUACUCUUACUGUCCGCGUAACACAAUCUGAUUUGUUUGCUGCCAAGUCGUCUCGGAAGUUUUCUUUUACCGGGCUUGUCUAGAGCCGUCAAAAUCAUCUUUUCUUAGAUGAUGACGACCUUGGUUUUGAUGGUAGGAACCGGUCUCAGUGAAACUCGAGUUUUACACGGUCUUGGUAAAAGCUUGACACUAAAUUGCUUUAUUCUCCAGAGACUUUUUAUAUGUGGAGUUUUAAUGGAAUUAUUAUGGAUUGUGUAGGUCCAUUGCUGAUACAAAUAAACUAUGGGUAUAUCGACCAAAGGUACGUCUAUGUAGGUUAUCAAUUUUGCAGACAAUUAUGUUGUCAGAAGGAUACUUGCUCACGUAGUCAUGAGAUAUAUAUAGUCAUAGUCAUUGUGAUUAUUGCUUGCAUCAUUGUCAUGGGCAAAAUAGAAUGUUUAUUGCUGCCACUUUAUUAAUCAGUUUAAUGAAAUAAACUUAUGAUAUUAAAAAGUUUUAUAAUUUGUCCCACCAUUGCAAUCUAGGAAAGCAUCCAGUUGGGGUGGUGGGAGUGAACUGAGAAACCCAAUAAGGUUUAGACUUUGGGUUAAGGCAUGACAUUUUUGCCUUGAGUAGAUUCAAGCUCCAUGAGAAAGAUCUAACAAGUAUUGAGCAAAAAGAUCUCACCUAGCUUGCCUUGUCCUUUGUAACAAGUAGCUCACAAAUCCACUCAUCCACUCAUUAUUUGGCAACUUAGAAAUAAUAUAAACUUCCAUUUUACUCAAAGUAGUUGAUGGAGUUAGAGGGUUCUUUAGUUGCUGUUGAGCUGACUUAGAAGAUGUUUCUUGAGGAGCAUCCAAUAGCUAAGUAUCCAAAGGCCAUUUGAAUUGUCAUUCAUAUCACUAUCUAUACAAAUGGACUAGUUGGAUUUUGAGUUGAAAUAACUAUAACCAAAGGAUCUCCAAGAAUCUCACUAUCCUAGCUAAGAAGAUUAUAGCUUCUUCCAAGCUCCAAGCUCCUACUAAACUAGCUCGUAAAAUUGUCCAUAUUGCUACUCUUGCUGCAAGCUUUGGCACCAUGCCAAUCUAAAAGUAGGCCUAGGCCUUAGCCUCAUCCAUGAGCACAAGAAGGGUCUAAAACUCUAAAAUCUUUGCUAUUUUUGUGUGCCUAUAAACCUGUAAUGUGAAAGAAAGAAAUAAAUAAAGGAUAAAAAAUAAAGAGAAAAGAAGGGAAGAGUGGAGUGGAUGCUUGCUAUUGCACUUGCUUGACUUGAUCUUGCACUUUGCUUCAGCUAAAUAUAAACAAUUACAUAAAAAUUGAGAGAGAAGAGUAACUUAAAGUCCUUCAAUCCCCCAAAAGGCUUUUGUUAAGGUUGUGAGCAAGGAUAGGCUUAAUAUUGCUUGAGUACUUUAGAUCUUGAGUAUGUGGAUAUGUGGAGAAGGGAGAAAAAAGGCAAGCUCGAGGAUUCAAGUUUAGGGAAGUAAACUUGAGAGGUUCAAGGUUAGGACUGUAUUCUUAACCUUAACGUGAGUAGUAGCGACUAUAAAAGUAGGACUUAGAAUGUUUUUAGACUUAUCCCUAAUACAAAAUACAUUGCAAUACAUCAUCAUUCUGCCUAUCUCUCUUUGGCUCUUCAUGGCAAUGGCAAUGUCUUACUUACCCACCGCCUUCAAGGGAUCAAAGGCAUGGGACUAGCACCUUCAAGCACAUGUUCACAGUCUCUACUUGGCUUGGCACAAGCAGGUAAGUGCAUUCAUCUUGUUGUGUUGUUUUAGAUUUAGGGAUUAGAUUAGAUUUGAAACUCCUAGGAAGAUCUCAUAUGGACGUUUUCCUCCUAGUUUAGAGAUUCCAGGAGUUUUCACUGGCAACCACAGUGGGAUAGAGCAGAUCAAGACGCUCAUUUCCCCAAAACUUCAAGGAAAACAGACUAAAGACGCACAAGAAAAUGGCAUAAGAAGAAAAAAAAGACCCAAAAAUCAAGAAAAACAAGAGCGUAAAACAAAAACGGUGGAAAAUUAUGAAGGAAUGAAGAAAAAAAUGGAUCAUAAGACCAAAAUAUAAAGAACACUUGAAGAUUGAAGCCACCCAAGUUGUGGAAAACUUGGAGCGUACGCGUAACUGUUUUGGCAAGAGGUUGAAGAAAGUGAAUAUUCCAAGAAUCUGUGAUAAGGAAACAACCAAGGAAAAAUUCUAGUGGCUGGAGAUGGAGGAAGAAUGAAAAAGCACGACUGCCCAUUUGGAGACACAAGCUAUACAAGAUAUGAGGACUGCCUUUUGUGUGGUUUCAAAAAUUAUGCAAAACCAUACAAGCAAUGCUAUUCAAAAUGGCAAUGCGACACUUGCAAGCAAGCAAAAGUAAGACUCCAAAUCAGGGAUGAAAAUGCCACAGCGGAGGAGAGAAGAAAACAAGAAGAAAUACCCCAAGAAAACGACACCAAAAAGAAAGAUGAUAGUUUAGAACAAGUAGCAAAACAAAGCUUUAGCUGCUUACGAAAACUACAAGAAACAAUUUUGCAACUCUUUUACAAAUUGUCUAGCAAAUAGGAAGAAUGCAAAAAUGAGGAAAUGUUGAAAGAAAAAUAUGUUUACUUCGAUUUCUUUGCAACUCGAAGAACUCUGACUUGGGGUGUAUCGUGGACACCUCUUUCAACAAACAAUUGUCGAAUUCCUAGGCAUACACAAACAUGAAACUUUUCAACCAUUAACGCUUGCUUUCAACACUGAUUUGACGAGAGUCAUAGCAACAACAAAGUAUAGCACCUUUGAACCACGAGUUCGUUGGUUUGUGGACACUCUUAGAUUUAGAGAUUUCGAAGAGAAUGCGGAAUUACUUUACCGACUUCUUCAAAGUCCUCUUCGUGUAAUGCUACCAACAAGCACUCUUAUUGAACAAUAUACUAUAGCAUAUUGGCACCAUUUAGGAUGGACAAGAAUAGCUAGAAAAUUAAGAAAUCAAAGACAAGGCCGUCAACAAAUUUAAAUUCGGAAUUCAAGUUCAAGAAACCGAUGGGAACCUGAACUUGAGUCAAGUUCAAGGGAACGACUUGAAAACUCAAGGAUAACAAGUCGAAGGAGGAGAAAUUUAAGAUAGAAUCAUAAUAGGCCAAGAUUAAAUACAGUAACAAACUUCAACUUUGACACUAAUGUCCAACAUCGAAACCCUAGCCUAGAGCUACAUAUCACUCGCAACCAACAAGGAAGAGUGCGUCCAAGUAGUCUCAACAUUUUAAGGAGUAUUUUAGGAGAUCUUGCGUCAAGAUUUCAAACUUAUAAUGCAAGAGUUUUAAUUAAGACUAUCCCUUGGGAAGUUCGUGAAGCGAUCGACUCUGAUCGUGAAAGAGAACAUGCUAUAUGACAGAGGGAAGUAGAACACCACCAGCAAGAACAGCAUCAGGGAAAUGCACCAUCACGAAAUCGACUAUAGAAAAAAGUGCACUGGAUAAAUCUGCGCACACAUAGGCUUAAAGCAACAAGAAUCUGUUGGAAACUAUACUGUGACGUGUGGACGUCAUUAGAGACUAGAAACAUACGAGCAGUAGGACAUUUAAAAUACAACCACUACUAUAUUCAGGAUUUUCAAAUAUUACCAACGACAAAAGCUCAUAGUGAGAGCUUGCAUACCACAACAACCAACACAUCAUAAGAGAUUAAAACAAUUGUUCAAGAUUGGACUACUAGAAAGAAUUGCAAUCAUUUGCAUACCUGCUUGAUCCCGAAGUUGGCGAACAGUGUCCAAAUUUACUAGCGAACAGCUAUAUCGAUCAAUUUAUGACACAACCGACCUGCUUCCACAAACAAAAUCGUACUUACUUACACCACCAGAUUUUUCAAAUACAAGACCUUUCCUGAGCUAGACUCAAGAAAGUGACCUCGAGAAGAAACUCGGGAAGAAUUGAGACAGAAAAACUCAAUUGAAGAUUCAAGACAUAAGAGCUUGACUUUGCAACAAAACCAACUUGCAGAAGACUCAGGACAUAAGAGCUUGACUGACACGAACCAUAGGAAUAUUCCGAGAAUAUUCUAUGGCUUGUGGGAUUUAAGGCCGUAACGCCUUAAGGGUUGGGAGGUUGGCCUAGGGUUCGCUCUCUUGUUCGUUUCAUUGGUAUCGGAGCAGCACGUUCUUUUGGGGAUGGUGGGAGAGCAAGACAUUGAUCCUGAUGAGGAGUAUGGCGUUAGUGAUGAUAGCCAUGACGAUGCAGAAGAGACUCUUGAUGAUGUCGUUGUGCGGCAAGGACUCCAGAUUUCUGAGGUUCAGAGCGACAUAAAGGACGUUAAGGAUUCCGUCAAUCUCAUUAAGGAUUUCUUGCUUCGCAUGAACCCUCAAAGGUUGAAUCAAUCUCAUGUCCGUGAUUACCAUUGGUAUGUCAAACAUGCCAAGGAUUAUGGUAUUGUGGAAUGGAAAUCAUCACCGGAUGUUUGUGAUAGUCAAGAGGUUGAUUCUUGGUUGGAAUUGUGGGAAAGUUGUUGGUCUCACAAUCCUUGUAAGGAUAAGGUGAAGAUAGAUUUCUUUGUGACGAAGUUUACGGGCCAUGCUUCUUCGUGGUGGAAGAACUACAUCAAAGCUAAUCCGAAGCCGACUUCUUGGACUAAUUUGACAAAGGUUUUCCGCGCUUCGUUUGUCAAGAAGUUUGAAGAAGUUGAUCUUGUGAAUCAAUUGUUAGAGAUCCGGCAAGGGACUCUGUCUUUAGAUGCGUAUGCCCGCAAGUUUUGUGAUCUUUGCCUUAGUCUCACAGGCACCUAUAAUGAGCUGCUAAAGGUGCAAUGUUUUAUCAAAGGAUUGAGCUCGGUGGAUGUGCAGCAGAAGGUCAAGAAGGAUUUUCCAGCAACAUUGACUGAUGCUAUCACUAAGGCUCAGAUCUUUUCGCCCGAACCAUCAGUCAACUCGGUCAACUCUGGUCAACGAGAUAGUCCACAGAGUAGUCAACGUGAUGACCAGCUUGCUAAUUCUUCAUAUUCGGGGAAGAAACGGUCGUUAUUCCGUUGUGGCUCGAAGCAUGAAAAUGGCAGUGAAGCUAAGAAACUUCGUUUGGACCAGCGAGAGAAAGACAAGGCGGAGGGCAAUUGUUUUCGUUGCCAUAGAGCUGGACAUCAGAGCAAGGAUUGUUCUAAAGGGGUCAAUGAAUGAUAAGGUGACUGUGGUGGAAAUUAUAGGCAAUGAUGUGAGUGAUAGUGCUUUUGAGGCCAUAUUGCUUCAAGUUAGGCAUUCUCUCGCCUUCAUGAGCCACAAGUUUGAUAUCACACAGCAGAAUUGACCUACUCAAGAAUGGCGACAUUAUCUAAAUGGAUCGGACUUCCAUAUAGUUUCAGAUCAUCAGUCUCUUCAGAUGUGGAUCUUCGAGGCCGCCUUGCUCGUUGGCAAGAGUUCCUGCAGGAAAUGUCUGUUAAGAUCCGGUACAAGCAUGGAGGUGACAAUAAGGUGGCUGAUGCGUUAUCCAGGAUAGUAAAUUUUAUCUCGUUCGUGAAGCUAUCCAGCGAUCUCUUGGAUGAGCUUAAGGAGUUUGCUGACUUCGACUCCUUUAUCACUGAUAUUCGCGCGAAGGUUUUGUUGAGGGACGCCUCUACAGAUUUGAAGGGUGACAAGUUUGCAUCAUUCGAAAUACGAGAUGGAAUCCUAGUGAAGAAGGGAUGUGUUGUGGUUCCUCAUGUUGACAAACUCAUCAAACGGAUUUUGGUUGAGUGUCAUGAUGUGCCAAGUGCUGGGCAUCUGGGGGUAUUAAGAACAUAUAUGUUGGUGAAGAGGCAUUUCUUUUGGCCUGGGAUGAAGUCAGAUGUUGAGAAGUACGUACGUGGUUGCUUGACCUGCCAGGCGGUCAAAGUUGAUCAUCAGAAGCUUGCUGGCCUCUAUCAUCCUUUACGUAUUCCCGAGAAUAAGUGGGAUAGCAUCUCGAUGGACUUUAUCACUGGUUUGCCCAAAACCUUUUGAGGAAAUGAUGCUAUUUGGGUUGUUGUGGAUCGUUUGACGAAGAUGGCUCACUUCUUCCCUGUGAAGACAACGAUAAAAGCUUCUGAACUUGCUCAGUUGUUUGUAGAUCGGUUAUUCAGUCUCUAUGGUUUGCCGGGUGACAUUGUGAGUGAUCGGGAUCCUAAAUUCAGGUCCAAGUUUUGGCAAACGGUCUUUGAAAAACUAGAGACUAAACUGAGCAUGAGUAGUGGUGAGCAUCCACAAUCUGAUGGGCAGACAGAGCGCAUGAAUCAGCUAUUAGAAGAUAUGCUACAGUCUUUUGUGGGAAACUUGACUCGACAGGGAGUAUGGGAAAAAUACUUGCCUUUGCUUCAGUUUGCUCACAAUAGCGCUCAUCAAUCGGCUAUUGGCAUGUCUCCUUUUAUGGCGAUGUAUGGCUAUGAGCCUAGGUCUCCUGUGAAUUUGAAUUUGGCUUUGGUUCGGGUUCCUCAUGCUUGUGAUUUCCUGGAGGAUAUGCAAGACAAGCUUGAGUUGGCAAAAUUGAACAUGAGGCAAGCUCAAGAACAAGACAAAAGAUUGGCUGAUGAGCAUCGUCGUCAUCAAGAGUACAAAGUUGGUGACAAGGUUUUCCUUAAGCUGUCGGAUGCACAACGAUCUCUAAAAGGAAGUGGUAGUGCUAAGUUGUCCCCACAGUAUUGUGGGCCUUGGACAAUUUUACAGCGUGUGGGGGAUCUUGCAUACACUUUGGAUUUGCCAGUUAGUUCGAAGAUUCAUCCAACGUUCCAUGUGAGCAAGCUUAAAGUGUGUUUGCACUCUGGUGAUAUCGUGGAUCAGUCCAUCAUCCAGGUUCCAGAGAUUGAUGCAGAGAAGGCUGGUUCGGCCAAUAUUCUUGCUCAAAGAUUGGUGAAAACAUGCCGGAAAACAACUAGGGAGUUGUUAGUUCAGUGGAAUGGUUAUUCCAUGGACGAAGCUACAUGGGAAACUGAGGAUGACGUGAAGAGAGUGUUUCCGAGUUUUGGUUAUGACUUGGAUGACAUUCCUGAGGAAGGGGAGAAUUGAGUUCUAUAGCCGUAUUGCUAUAUAAUCUGAACCGUUUGUUCUAUUCUCAUUCUCUUGUUUUCCAUGACCGUAUUGUCAUGUGAGAAAGCCGUAUUGCUUUCUUUCUUUCGUGACCGUUUGUUGCGAUGUUGGUGUUGCCGUUUGCACAUCUUUUCUCCAUGGCCGUAUUGCCUUGGACUCCCUUCAUUUGAGGCUCGUUUAGCUUCUUGAGGCUACCGUAUGUGGCUGGCUCAUGAGGGAGGGGAGAAUGACACGAACCACGGAAAUAUUCCAAGAAUAUUCCAUGGCCUGUGGGAUUUAAGGCCGUAACGCCUUAAGGGUUGGGAGGUUGGCCUAGGGUUCGCUCUCUUGUUCGUUUCAUUGACUUUGCAAUCUAUGAAGAACAACAUUUGACUCAAGACAACUUAGGCAAAACAUAAAUUCAGGAAACUUACCUUAAUAUUCAAGUUGAGAAGACUCAGCAAACUGAAUGUACAAACACAAACCAGACCCAAUCAAGAUCUGGGAAAGAGAUCUUCGACAAAAGAAUCAAGAAGUGAAAAAGGAAGAGAUAGAAAAAGAGAAACUAGAACAACAACAGCAACAAAUUUUAGAAACGAUAUUAGAGAAGUACGACAAAGAGGAUAAAGAAAUUCAAGUUGCCGAGUCGAACAACUCAGCCAAAGAUAACAAAGAACUAAAUAUUGAAGAUGCCCAAAAGUUUGAGGCAUUUGAAGAAGCAGAAAACAUAGCACCAAAGUUUUACUCCAAUCCAAACUCACCAGAACAACAACUUCACCAACAAAGUCUACAACUUCAAAUGGCAUNNNNNNNNNNNNNNNNNNNNNNNNNNNNNNNNNNNNNNNNNNNNNNNNNNNNNNNNNNNNNNNNNNNNNNNNNNNNNNNNNNNNNNNNNNNNNNNNNNNNAUUAACCUUACAAUAAAUACUUCAAAUAGCACCAUAUCUUAAGAGCCAAAUGCUUAAGAUUUGUUGUCCACAAAUUCCUGAUGCUCGCACUCAAGAAAAGCAAUUUCCAUCUACAUCUGAGAAAGAGGAUAACAUAAAAAUCCAACCUGGAGAUUACGAUGAUAAUGUACCUUGUAUUGACCUCAACAUAGGCAAGAAUCAAAUCAAUGGAGCAAUACUUGAUGGAGGCUCGGGUGUGUAUAAUCGAGCAUGGUAUAUGUAAAGCAAUGGGACUUGGACCCAUACAACCUGCUCCCUUCAAUGUCUGCAUGGCAGACCAACAUGUUGUAAGACCAGCUGGCAUAAUAAGAGAUAUCACCAUUGGAAUCAAAGGACACAAGUUCAAGAUCAACUUCGUGGUAUUAAAAAUGCCAAUUGAAGAAUCCUCUUACGUACUCUUGCUUGGAAGACCAUGAUUAAACAAAGUAGUUUAUGCUCAAUAUUGGAUGGACCAUGAAAUUUGUAUACAAUCAGACAAAGGAUAAAUGAAAAUAGCUACAACUACAACCAAGAAAAUUCCAAAAAGAUUUCAACCAAAUCAAGCCCAAGAAUACAAUUGGCAAGAAGGCUUGGACGACCUUGAAGAAGCUAAACUCCUUGAAGCUUACCUAGAGCUACGAGCUUUUCAAGAAAUCGAUUUACACCAUGUACUACCAGUAGUGGCUCAAGACCAGCACCACAACUUAAACUCGAUGGACCAACCACUCUACUCUACAAAGCUACAUGCUCAAAGUCAACAAAGAUUAAAGAUAAAACAACAAAACGAGAAGCCAACUCUCAAGCCUGAACAAUUACAAUCUAAAGAAUACAACAUUCAGAUUGAUGAUAAUCCAGCCCUACAAUCUAGAAAUGACAACUUUACACCCCGAAUUAACCUUAAUGAAGAAAUAGAAGAACUCAAUCUUGGACUUCACGAAGAUCCACACAACAUACUCAUUGUUGCAAAUCUUGACAAAAACUUCAAGAUAAAAUCUCAACAAUUACUCAUAACUUACAAGGACGUUUUCACAUGGUCAUACAAAGAUCUCAAGGGAAUACCCCCGAAACUAUGUACACAUCGCAUAGAGUUACUACCAGGAACUCGACCAAUUAAGCAAACAGCUUAUCACAUGAAUCCAAACUUCACUGAUAAAGUCAAAACAGAACUCAACAAACUACAAAAUGCUAGAUUCAUUUACCCCAUCAAGAAUGCACAAUGGUUGUCACCAUUGGCUAUCGUCCCAAAAAAAUUGCGAAUUUGUGUCAAUUACAAAAAGUUGAAUGAUGUCACGGAAAAAGACUCUUUCCUUAUACCAUUCUCAGACGAGAUACUUGACGCAGUUGCAGGACAUGAGAUGUACUCAUUCCUCGACGAAUUUUCGGGAUAUAAUCAAGUCCACAUAGCGCCAGAAGAUCAAUACAAGACUGCCUUCAUCAGUCUAUGGGGCACAUAUGCAUACUCCAGAAUGCCAUUCGGAUUAACAAAUGCACCAUUUACUUUUCAAAGGAUAAUUACCAACACAUUUCAGGAAUACUUGACUGAUUUUAUGUGCGUCUUCAUGGAUGACUUCAGCAUUUUUGGAGCAAAAGAAAAACACCUUGAACACUUAGAAAAGUGUUUCAUUAAAUAUCAACAAAACCGAGUUGCACUUAUAUUUUCUUUGUCAAAUUAGGAAUACUCCUUGGCCAUGUCAUUUGUAAAGACGGAAUUCUCAUUGACAAAGCAAAAAUAGAGGUCAUCGUCAAAUGACUCCACCCAUGGAUUUAACGAGUUUGCGAAGAUUUCUCGGAAAAAUGGGUUACCAUAGACGUUUUAUUCAAGACUAUGCAAAGAUUGCUAAACCGCUUACGGAGCUACUUAAGAAAUCUCAAGUUUAUGCAUGGACACAAGAUUGUCAACUGGCCUUUGACACACUUAAGGAUAAACUUACAAAAGCCCCCAUACUGGUUCAACCAGACUGGACAUAGGAAUUCAUUGUCCAAGUAGAUGCAUUUGAUUAUGCACUUGGAGUUAUACUUUGCCAGAGAAAAACUGAUAAUAGAGACCAUCUGAUUUACUACACAAGUUGUAGACUCUCUCCACCAGAGAUGAACUAUACAACCACGGAAAAAGAAGCAUUAGGAAUGGUCUAUGCACUCACCAAAUUUUGACAUUACCUCCUUUCAAACAAAGUCAAGAUCAUGGUUGAUCACCAAGCACUCAUACACUUACUCAACAAGACAAUACUCACUGGAAGAAUCGUGAGAUGGUUUCUUCUACUUCAAGAAUUCAACUUUGAGAUUAUUCACAAGCCAGGCAAACAACAUACACAAGCUGAUCAUCUUAGUCGACUUACCACAGGGGAACAAGUCAUGAAAACCAAUGAUGACUUACUUGAUUCACACCUUUUUAAGGUCAAAACUCAAGGAAUGCUCCAGGAUAUUUACAAAUUCUUGACGACAAACAAGAUCCCAAAUCACUACUUCACAAAUGAUCAAAGGAAACAAUUCGUCUUGAGGACACAACGAUAUUCAGUCGUGGGAGACAAACUAUAUAAGCUUGGACAUGACAACAUCUUGAGAAGAUGCAUAGAAUCACAAGAAGAGGUUAAGGAUCUACUCGAUGAAGCUCAUGCAGGACGAUCGGGAGGUCAUUUUGCCGAAGAAAUUAUGGCUAGGAAAGUGUUACAAGCUGGAUUAUGGUGGCCAACACUCUAGAAAGAUGCCACUCAGCAUUGUUAAGAAUGUGACAUAUGUCAAAGAACGAAAUUUCCACCGAGGAAACAAACUCAGGAACUCAAUCUGACAACAACAUUGGAACCCUUCCAGCGUUGGGGACUUGAUUUUGUUGGACCUAUAGCAAAAAGUAGCAAAGGAAAUCAAUACAUUUUGGUUGCUACCGGCUAUAUGACAAAAUGGGAAGAAGCUCUCCCACUAAAGAAAGCCACAGCAAAAAAUACAGCCAAGUUUCUCUAUGAAACAAUUAUAACACGAUAUGGAUUACCACGAGAAAUUGUUAUAGAUCAAGGAACACAUUUUCUGAAUGAGACCAUCAACAUUCUCGUUAAAGAAUUUAUCAUCAACCAUAAGAAGUCAACACCAUAUUACCCCCAAGGUAAUGGACAAGUAGAAUCCACAAACAAAACGCUUAAAAACAUACUCAAGAAAAUAGUCAAGACAAACCUUAAGGAUUGGGAUGAAAGAAUUUAUGAUGCUCUUUAGGCUUACAGAACAACUUACAAAGUUUUAACAAAUUCUACAUCUUUCAAGCUUGCCUUUUUUCUCCCUUCUCCAAUAUGCAUUGAUAAUGGAAGGCUAGAGUACAAAAGACCCUUUAACUAGUUUUACAUGAUGGCAACCACUACUUUUUCCUGUUUCUAAGUCUUAAGAUUGGAGUCUUGAGACUCGUGAUGAUACUUCUAAAUACAGUAACAAAUCAAUCAGCUGACCUCAGUAUUAGUGGUCGUGGGCAGUGCAUUCUAAAGCUCUUUGACUUGUUGGGCAAAGUCGGGCACCCAUGCUGGCAUGACUUGGUAGUGACCACAGCAAGUUUUGGUUGUUGAUAUGCAACUAGAACUUGUUUUAAACAGCAUAUGCAUCCUAGUCAAACAUGAGGCAGUCAAGAACUCUUGGAAUUCCCCAUUAUUGCAAAGAAAUAAAGAAAAAAUAUCAAUGAUUAUUCUAUUUAACUUUCAUUCACCAUUUUGUUAAGGAAAAACUUAAACAAUACACCACAUUAUUAAAUAAUAGUUUAAACGACCAGGAUGUAAUCGUUUGUACUACUCCUAUUCCAUCUAUAGUGCCCAAUUGUGUAGUGCUGUUAACAAUGUAGAGUUGGGAGGCAGCAUUAGUCAUGUGGAUGUCCUCCGCUGCUGCCUGGUUCGAGGAGCCCUUCCACUGUUGUGAGUUGAGCCUGCAAAGUCUGUUGCAAUAUUAAAAACGUUUAAUUGCCCAGCAAGCCUCACUGGUUUGAUCAGUCAGUGUAUAGUUUUAUCUUAAGAGUAACAUUCCACGAACUAGAGAGUAGAAUUUAGCUGCUCAACCAAAGUCCCACCCAUAUCCAUAACCCACGCCUUGUCCACCAGUGGAAUCAACUCUCUGCGAGGAAAGAAAAUAAGAUCCAAGCACUAAUCACGCAAGUUUACCGCAGAUCAUGGCUCACAACGAGCAACGUCCUCUCCUUCUUUAAGUAUGUGAGGUAAGAAUGUAGCUUGGAAUUUUUGGUGAGGUGUUGCUCUAACGAAAGGUGAAACCGUGUGAUGGUGCUCAAGAUCCGUCAUAGCAUAUAUGGAAUGGAAAAUGUACAUAUGUGUGACAUGGUGAACCAGUGAAGACUCGUGUCUCUCCACGUGGACUAGCCACGUGGCACAGGGCCACUCUCAACACUCCCAGUGGGACUGCGGCCAUCACGAGUGAUGCUCAUCAGUGGAGAAAGUCCCAGCCCUUCGCAAUGGACUUGAAAUCGAUCUUGGGGUAGUGCUUUUGUGAAGAUAUUUGCAACCUGAGUGGUCAUGUCGCAGUAGAUCAGCUCAAUUGGGGUAGAAUGCAUAAUACAGCACCCCCCCUUAUUUAGGGUGGGCCCCAUUUGUUUAUUUGGAUUUGCAUGCCACCUCAUUGCUUACUUGCGCAUGCCACCUCAUUAUUAUAAAUUAAAGAGAUAAAUCUUUGAGAUGCCCGAGUGGGACUGCUGCCACGGAGGACGCGAGGAGUGAGGCGUGCUGCCACGGAGGACGCGAGGAGUGAGCGUGGCAAAGGGGCAACCACGUAAGAGUGAGGGGUGCUGUAUUAUGCAUUUCUUCCAGCGAGGAUUGGCUGCUAAUGCAAUGCAGCUUUGAUUGUCGCAGAAGAGGCGAGUGGGAGUCUUCACACUCACACCAAGGUUAGAAAGUAGUGAGCGUAACCACACACCUUCUUUGGUAGCUUGUGAGGCUGCCAAAUAUUCUGCUUCAGUACUAGAGGUUGCCACUGUACUUUGCUUCCUGCUGCACCACGAGACUGUCGCACUGCCCAGGGAAAACGAAUAGCCAGAGGUGGACUUGCGUGUGUCACAGUCUCCCCCAAAAUCAGCAUCACAGUAGCCCGUGAGGGUAAGCGCUUUUCCCUGGUAGCACAAUCCAAGGUAAGUAGUACCUCGAAGGUACCUGAAGAUGCGUUUCACCGCUGCCCAAUGUUGAGAUCCAGGAUUAGCCAGGAAUUGGCUCACGGCAAAAGAAAUAUCUGGGCGCGUACAAACAGCUGGAUACAUGAGACUGCCAACAGCUUGUCUGUAAGGGAUGGAGUCCAUGGCUCUCUUGUCUUCCUCUGUCUCAGGAGACAUGGCUCGUGAAAGCUGGCAGCCUAGUUCCAUUGGUGUCGCCACUGGAUUAGAGCUCGUCAUAGAAAACCUGGCCAGCAUAUCUUCUAUAUACUUGGCUUGGUGAAGAUAGAUAGUGCGUUGAGAGCGAUCACGCACAAGUUCCAUGCCAAGAAAGUAGGAAGCCGAGCCAAGAGUUUUCAUCUCAAAUUGGCUGCAAAGAUCUCGCUUAACCUGGAGAAACAUUAAGCGAUGAUUAUGGAUGACAAGAGUAUCAUCAACAUAAAGAGCGAUGAUCACAAAUGAUUCACCCUCCACCCGAAUAUAAAGAUUCGGGUCUGCCUCGCUACGGGAAAAGCCCACACUUAGUAUAAAAUCGUCAAAGCGUUUGUACCAAGAUCUGGGUGCUUGUUUCGAGCCGAUCUGGGUGCUUGUUACAAGCCGUAGACAGCUUUCUUGAGAAGCCAGAGAUGAUCCUCUUUUCCAGCGGCUAGAAAUCCUUCUGGCUGUGCCAUAUAGAUUUCUUCUUCAAGCGCACCAUAAAGGAAUGCCGUGGUCACAUCCAUCUGUUCCAGAUCAAAGUCUCCCACCGCAGCAAAAUUAAUCAAGGAACGAAGAGUAGAAUGUUUAACCACUGGAGCGAAGGUGUCGUUGUAGUCAAGUCCAGGAACUUGCGAGCAUCCUUUCGCCACCAAUCGCGCCUUGUAGCGAUCCGAGCCAUCAGGAUUAAGCUUCAGAGCAUACACCCACAUGCUCUUGAUAAUCUGGCGAUUGGAAGGCACAGUUGGAACAAGAACAUGUGUCUCGUUCUUUUGCUGUGAAGCAAUCUCGGCUUCCAUUGCUACACGCCAGUAAGACGCUUCCUGUGAGGCCAUGGCUUCUCCAUAGGUCCUCGGAACAGUAGGAGUCCCAGCUGCACGAGAGGAGACCAUUGCUCAGUAGGCUACUUCCAGACUUUCAAGGAUAUGGGAGAAACACAAACUGGGAAAAUGCUCAAGCGAUUGAGAAGUGAUGGUGGAGGCGAAUUCACUUCCAAUGCUUUCAACCAGCUGUGUGAGCAAGGAGGGAUUGUGCGAGAACUUACAACGCGAGAGACUCCACAACAGAAUGGCGUAGCUGAGCGCAAGAAUCGCACACUAGUGGAGAGUGCUCGGGCAAUGCUACUUUCCAGUGGUCUGCCUCGCAGCUUCUGGUUUCACGCUGUCUUGACGGCGAACUAUCUCCAGAACCGGCUCCCCACCUCUGCCCUUGCUGGCAUCACUCCUGAAGAAGCAUGGAGUGGCAAGAAACCCACAGUUACGCAUCUGAGAAUAUUCGGGUGUGAAGCGUGGGCACACAUCCCUGAUGGAAUGCGCAAGAAAUUGGACCCCAAGAGCCAGAAGGCUGUGUUUGUGGGCUACAGCCUCGAUCACAAAGCCUAUCGUCUCUGGAAUCCAAUCACGAAGCAGGAGAUCCUGAGCAGAGAUGUGGUUUUCAACGAGAAUUCUUUUCUUCCUUCUAGUCAAGGUUCUACUUCCAGACCUACCUUGACCGAAGAAAAUGACGUUGAAGCGGAACAAGAUCAGUUGACUGUCGGCACGAUCACUGUGCCGCUUCAAACAGUCCCUACGCAACAACCCAUGCCCGCUUCUACUCCAACACCACCAACCCCGCCGCCUCCUCCAGAUCCUCUACGCAGAUCGAUCCGCACAAGGCGCACUGGACGACUAAGAACCUGGAUCUAGACUUCAACGAGUGGUGGGAUUGGGUAUCGGCACCCAUGGCAGCCACUGUUCCUACAAAUCCGCCUCCAAAUCCACCACCUAUUUCCCCUCCCAUCACAAAUCCGACUGUGCCUACAGCGGAUAUCGUUUCAGUGGACGCAAAUCCACCAAAAUUUGAUGGGAGGAACUGGCGCUUCUGGAAGACAAAAUUCGAAUCCUAUAUGGAUGAACGAGGCCUCUGGGACAUCACCACAGGAACUGAGACACUUCCAGAUACAGCUACAGUGGAUGAAACUGCGAAGUAUCGCAAGAAGGACCGGAGAGCUUUGGGCAAAUUCCAUGCAGCGCUGGAAGGGCGAGAAUUCCAUUGCAUUGGACGGUGCAAGAGUGCAAAGGAAGCGUGGGAGGCCAUGAAGCAGACUUACCAGAUCCCUUCAACAUCCCAUCGCAUUUUUUUACGGAAGCAGCUUCAUGCACUGGUGAUGGCUGAAGGGGACGACCUCAAGGAUCAUCUUGCUGCAGCGAGAACAAUCUUAGAUGAUCUUAAGGAUGUGGGAGCAAACAUAGAGGAUGAAGAAGAAGCAGAGCUGGUGCUCGUCACACUUCCUCCAUCCUUUGAUCCUCUCAUAUGUAGCAGCCGCCAGGACGAUGAUCUGAGACGAAGAGCAACAACAGGAUCAGAGGCCGUUGCAUUCUACUCUUCUCUCAGGAAAGAAACAGUGAACAAAGGGAAACAAGGAGCCUCUUCAUCCAAGAAGCCCAAGUGUUCUCAUUGCAACAAGAAAGGCCAUGACGAAGCUCAAUGCUGGGUGAAAAAUCCAUCUCUCAAGCCUGUAAGGAACAAUGCAAAGAAAAAGGUGGUACACGCCUUCAUCUUGUCACGAGCUAUGGCAGUGGCAGCACUGUCUACAGAGUGCAUCUACCUGGAUUCUGCUGCUACAGACCAUAUGUUCAACAGUGAUAAGUACUUUGAAGCCUAUGAUCCUACAGCCACAGAGGAGUAUGUCAUCGUUGGCAAUGCCCAGCAGCUUGCUGUGAAAGGAAUUGGAACCAUCAAGUUCACUUUACCACAAGGAAUAGUCGUAAAGAUCCACGAGGUUCUUUAUAUUCCUGGUUUAUGUGCUAAUUUGUUCUCUGUGGGACAAUUUGCUGAGGAUGGGUAUCAGUUCGCCAUUACACCUCGCCAAUUCCAGCUGAUCUCGACCACAGGAGCCAUCCUCACAGCGUCCCGGCCUGGACGGCGUGACCUCUACCGCCUUACCAUGCUGCCAGAUCUUGCUGGACGGAGUCUGGGCCUACACGCACAAAAGACAACGACCAGUCACUCACUGGAGCUUUGGCACGCACGCCUGGGGCAUCCUAGUGCUGAUAGAAUCAAGCAUCUCGCACGCGAGCAGAUGGUUGAAGGUCUAGACCUGGACCCAAGAGCCGUUCUUCCAUUUUGCCAGGGCUGUCAGCUAGGAAAAUCUACUCGCCAACCUUUCCCCAAGACUGGAGCAUCUCGAGCUACAGCUCUGUACACACUGAUGUGUGUGGCCCGAUGGCCACCACAGCAGUGGGAGGUUUAUCAGUUUCAUUGAUGACUACAGUCGUCGCACUAUGAUCUACCCUAUGGCUCGCAAAUCCCAAUCGUUACACCCUCUUGCAAGGCCUGGAGCGCUUGGAUUAGGGCACGCCUCUGUCUACGUAGACGGAGGCUCCGAUUCACCCUAGCAAGUGUCGCCCUGAUCCUACGGUUUCGAAUUCUUCUCGCUCUCCCAGGCAUUGCUCUGAUACUAUCUAACGAAAGGUGAAACCGUGUGAUGGUGCUCAAGAUCCGUCAUAACAUAUAUGGAAUGGAAAAUGUACAUACGUGUGACAUGGUGAACCGGUGAAGACUCGUGUCUCUCCACGUGGACUAGCCACGCGGCACAGGGCCACAGUUGCUGAUCGCAAAAAUGGCGAAGAGGUUUGCAAUUUUCUUUUUCCUUCUCUAUAUCAAGCUUGCAGGGGUGCCAGAAUGCUGAAACGGAUUCUACCAGCCGGUGAGCUUGUUUACUUUUCGCGUGGCUAUUGGUGAAAUUCAUGGUGUUCUUGCUUUUUAAGGUUGCUUCGACUCGACUAUGCUGCCGCGAUGCGUCCCCAUCCUGAGAAGGUGCAAAGCUUACUUGCUAAUUUUUGUAGAUCUUCUAAGCUUUGCUGUUUACAGGCUCAAAGAGGGGGUGAAGAUGCUUUGCAAAGGCGAGAAUGAAUUGGAGCGGUGGAAAGCUAGAUGAUACCACGGCAGUUGUGGCGUUUGUGACCUGAUAUUUGAGUCGCGAAGGGUAAACAUUUCAAGCAGUUUUUGCGGAGGCCAGUGUAAAUUGCUCAGGCCGUUAAUUUUUGCGGUAUUUCCGGUUCUUACGCUAAUUGAGGUAUGACAUCCUUUUGAUUUGAUUCAAACCGUUCUUUGUGUCUUUUGUGUCCAGCCUUCAUUUUAAAUCGCAGGUAGCUGCUGCUGAAUCUUCCUUUUAGAAAUCAAGGUUUUGUUCCAUCAGAAGGUUCACAACCUGAAGUUCUAACCUCACUGGAGAUUGAACACCGGACAGGACAGGUAUCUCUUCUGUUUAGAGGGAACUGCUCAGGGUCACUUGAGGUGUUAGACAUGUAGUUUAGCUGGACGAUCACGAGCAAGCUCAAGAUACUCAAGCUCUCCGGCAACAUGAUCUCUGGCUCGUCCUUCUCGGGGGUACAUCGAGCUGCUAGGCCUUUGGCACGAUGGGAUCUUUUGCGACUGCGUGGCUCUCCAGGAGCUCUUCAACAGUCGCACUCCCCCGUCCAGCAGCAAAUUCCGGAAUUUCAUUCUCGGCUCUACAUCUCUCAGCCAUCCAAAUGGGUGUGCGGGCUUGGAAGUGCUCGAACAACGUUUCGGAGGAGCUCGUGUGGGCCCUAUCAUGUCUCUCAGCUUGGGCAGACUCUUUGAGUUUGCUCAGAUCUCUCGGAGAACCGGUUGAAGGGGAUGGUUCUGAAGGACUAAGUGGUGGAAACCCUGUUACAGUCGAAUAGCAACAAAGAGCUCACGGAGAACAGCUUGAAGGACAGCUCCAGGCGAGCUCGUGUGGAGGAUCCUUGGAUACCGCUUUCAUCCCAGUACCGUGAGACUCCACCAGAAAGACGGUGAGGAAGGUGGCGACAAGCCAAUUGGCUGGAGCUGUGACUUCCUUCUUUGUCUCGAGUAUUUGGUCGCGUGUCCCGUCCACAUGGUGAGCCAUGGAAUUGUUUCUUAGUUGCUCAAAUCUUAAUUCUUUCUGAUCUCCAGGUUGGUAAUCACCAUUACCAACUAAGAGGAAUUUUUUGCAUUGAGGCUUUGCAGUUCGGUAGGCGACGAAGAAAAACUUUCCAGGAUCGGAGGAUGAAAAGUUACAGCCCGAGCUUGCUGUUCUUCGUGCUUGUCUUCUCCGCUGCGGCACUGAUACUCGUAUGGAUUCUCGACAUAAAAAUUCCGACUCCGCGAUGAUGUCCUGGAGCCGAACUCUGGGAUCAAACUCCGCAUCAGCAACAACACCACAAGCUACAAGGGCAGUGACACUUGCAGGAGUAGGAACGAGUACGACUUCUACAGCCGCCGAAGAUCGGCGAGCUUCGAGCCAUCCGAGUCGCUCCAACAGAAAAUCCUAGAGUACGAGGCUUUGCACGGGAGGUGCGCUCCGGGGCCCGAGCAGUGCGCGAACUGUAGUACAUGCGGCUACCUCGUCUACGUUCCCGCCAACCAGGGGAUCGGCAACAAGAUGGUGGCUAUAGUAGCAGCGUUUCUCUACGCGCUGCUCACCGACAGGACGAUGCUGAUCGCGAGGUUGGAGAACCUGGACACGCUCUUCUGCGAGCCGUUUCCAUCCAGCUCCUGGCUGCUGCCGUCGAAGCACCUCGAGUUGGCGCCGUGGGACGCCUCCAAGUGGAUUGGGAGCCUGGCGGGUUCGCCCAACUGCAGCCGCGGCGUCGACGUGAGCUUCCCCGAGGUGGUGGUGGCCUAUCUCGAUUACAACUACAGGGACCACUUCUGCCAAGAUCAACAGCAAGCUCUCAACUCCAGCGCGCGGUGGAUCGUCCUCUCCUCCGGCCAGUACUUCACUCCGGCGCUCUACAACGUCCCGACUUUCAGGAGCAAACUCGAGGAAUUGUUCCCACAGCAGGAGGCCAUCUUCCAUCUCCUGGUGAGGUACCUGUUGCUUCCCAGUGACUUCGUGUGGGACAAGGCGGCCAGGUACUACGACGCAUACCUGGCCCAGGCCGAGCUUCUAGUCGGGGUCCACUUGCGAAACCACAUCUGGUUCUCGCCACCCAACCUCGCCGAGGAUACGUUCGACUGCCUGGUGCAACAAGGCGCGCUCGCAAACACCACCCAGGAGCGAGCUCCCAGAUCGUCGGUGAGGAAGAACAGCAAGAAGGUGGCGGUGCUGGUGGUGUCGCUCAACUCGCAGUACUCGGAGACGCUCAAGAGCAAGGUGCUGGGAUACGAUCUAGCGGACGGCUCCUCGGUGUCCAUCCACCAGCCGAGCGUGGAGGGGGUGCAAAACACAGGGAACUUGGAUCACGACGCACAAGCGGUGAUGGAGAUCUACUUGCUGUCGAUGAGCGAUGUCCUGGUGACGAGCCCGCCAUCCACGUUUGGCUACUCGGCAGCGGGGCUGGCGGGGUGAGGCCCGUGCAGUUCGUGUGCGACCAGAACAAGAGCGUGGUUUGCUCGGUGAGGGAGACGAUGGAGCCGUGCUACCACGUUUAUCCGGCUCAGUCCGCGCUGGACAACAUUGAAAAG
rnacentral:lncRNA from 1 species